GACGAACGCUUCCUUCUUUCUUCACACAUUCACGUCGAACGUAAAGGCCCUGCUUGCAUGUUACUCGAGUGGCGAACGGGUGAGUAACACGUGGGUGAUCUGCCCUGCACUUCGGGAUAAGCCUGGGAAACUGGGUCUAAUACCGGAUAGGAGCCAUUUUUAGUGUGAUGGUUGGAAAGUUUUUUCGGUGUAGGAUGAGCUCGCGGCCUAUCAGCUUGUUGGUGGGGUAAUGGCCUACCAAGGCGGCGACGGGGCUCCGGCCUGAGAGGGUGGACGGCCACAGUGGGACUGAGAUAAGGCCCAGACUCCUACGGGAGGCAGCAGUGGGGAAUAUUGCACAAUGGGCGCAAGCCUGAUGCAGAGACGCCGCGUGGGGGAUGAAGGCAGGCGGGUUGUAAACUCCUUUCGCUAGGGACGAAGCUUUUUGUGACGGUACCUAGAUAAGAAGCAAAGGAUAAAGACGGG
rnacentral:rRNA from 1 species